rnacentral:tRNA from 1 species
UCUCUUUCGGUGUUCGGCACGAGAAGAUUUGGUCUUCUAGGAAGGAUUAGACCUAAAGUGAA